UCAACAGUCGUGCCGAGUUCCCUAAAGAUUUAGGGAAACGGGGGAACCAACUUUGGGUGAAUUGACCUCCUAUUCUAAGAGGGGUCAUAGGGGACCUUCAACCGAACCCUUAAGCUAACCUCGUAGGCAUUUGGAAGGGGUAUU
rfam:Paenibacillus sp. IHB B 3415 contig_053, whole genome shotgun sequence.